AUUGAACGCUGGCGGCAGGCCUAAUACAUGCAAGUCGAACGAGUGGCGGACGGGUGAGCAAUGUCUGGGAAACUGCCUGAUGGAGGGGGAUAACUACUGGAAACGGUAGCUAAUACCGCUUACCUCCCGAUGUGCUCAGAUGGGAUUAUCUAGUGGGUGGGGUAACGGUUCACCAAGGCGACGAUCCCUAGCUGGUCUGAGAGGGUGACCAGCCACACUGGAACUGAGACACGGUCCAGACGCCUACGGGAGGCAGCAGUAGGGAAUAUUGCGCAAUGGGCGCAAGCCUGAUGCAGCCAUGCCGCGUGUAUGAAGAAGGCCUUCGGGUUGUAAAGUGCUGUCAGCGGGGAGGCGUUACCCGCAGAAAAAGCACCGGCUAACUCCGUGCCAGCAGCCGCGGUAAUUC
rnacentral:rRNA from 1 species